UACGAAGGGGGCUAGCGUUGCUCGGAAUCACUGGGCGUAAAGCGCACGUAGGCGGCGUCUUAAGUCAGAGGUGAAAUCCUGGAGCUCAACUCCAGAACUGCCUUUGAUACUGGGAUGCUUGAGUCCGGGAGAGGUGAGUGGAACUGCGAGUGUAGAGGUGAAAUUCGUAGAUAUUCGCAAGAACACCAGUGGCGAAGGCGGACUCACUGGCCCGGUACUGACGCUGAGGUGC
rnacentral:rRNA from 1 species